rnacentral:lncRNA from 1 species
UUCAACAAGCAACGCCAGGCUGCAAAUCAAUUUUUUUUUCCGAUCUAAAUUCUGAAACUCAUCAUGCAGAUGCGUAAGAGCUGUUCAAAAGUCACUUUCGUGUCUGAGCCACGUCAUUAAGACAUCUAAUAAAAAUUGGCAUCUCUCCCUGAAUGACAUGCCCGUGUACGAAUGGAAAAUCUGCAUUGAAAACUUGAACCUCGAGGCAUCAGCGUCGGUAAGAACAAUAUAGGUGCUAACAAACUCAUUCUUAGCGUGAACAUCAUCAAACCGCGUGUGUAUCAUGUCUCCAGUCAUAAUUUUAAUGUCCGUAAGCUUUAUUAUGAUAGGUUCUACCUCAUGUAGCCACCACGAGUCACGUCCCACUGACAUGAAAAAGUGCCACGAGAGGAUGUGCGAAAAUAAGGGAGGAUACAUCAUUGGAGGAGAACGUCUACUGCCGAUCAUGCAUGAACAAAUCGAGAUGGACGAUGGAGAACCUGUUUGUGGAUGUAGCAUGAACUCAGAAGUGUAUGCAUUUUUAAAAACUCAUCAUUAUGAUGUCGAUGAUUACAGAUGUCGGCGUUUUAUGGCGUGUCUGGUAUCCAAGAAUGGUUAAAAAACCAGAACAUCAAAUUCAUGCCAGGUACAAAAGAAUGAUUCGGGAUAUUUUUCUAAUAAUUUUGAAGUCAAUCAAAAAUAUUACCAAAGCAUUUUGUUAUAUAUUUUAAAGAAAUCGUUCGUUAAAUUUUACAAAUUGUCGAGUAUAUUGUAAAAGUAUCGUAAAAAUGUCUCUAAAAUGUACCUAUUGUCAAAACGUCGUUACCAAAUUUCCAAGUUUUAAAAAAAAUUUUUGUAAAAGUAAUUAAUAUUUAUGUUAAACUCACUGGAGUAAUUUUAAUGUUUUAUUAAGUAUUAAAAAGCAUCAGAAUGUUAUUAUGUACUUGGUUAAAACAAUAUUAAAUGUCUAAGUACAAUAGUACAUCCUCCGUUGGUUUUGCUUUGUUAUGGAAACCUUAAACAAGUAUAUGGAAAAAAAACCAAAACCAAAAAACCAAUUUUUCUGGAAGAUUAUUCGUGUAGCAUUACAGGUUUGCUCUUUGAUAAAUUGUUUUCAAUUCUAUUCGGUCGAAAAUGGAUUUUUCAGGAUCCCGAAACAUCCCAGCCCUCUGAGCAUCUAUAGCUGAAGUUUAGCCUCGAUUACCCUUGUUUUUGGUUUUUUUUCUUCUUCACAUUUUUGCUCCCGAUUUUUAUUUUAUCGUUAAAUAAAUCACAAAGUGAAAGAACGGCCGAAUGCCAUGUU